rnacentral:rRNA from 1 species
CCUUCGGGUGGCAGCAGUGGGGAAUAUUGCACAAUGGGGGAAACCCUGAUGCAGCGACGCCGCGUGAAGGAAGACGUAUUUCGGUAUGUAAACUUCUAUCAGCAGGGAAGAAAAUGACGGUACCUGACUAAGAAGCCCCGUCUAACUACGUGCCAGCAGCCGCGGUGAUACGUAGGGGGCAAGCGUUAUCCGGAUUUACUGGGUGUAAAGGGAGCGUAGGCGGUUCUGCAAGUCAGAAGUGAAAGCCCGCAGCUCAACUGCGGGACUGCUUUUGAAACUGUAUGACUAGAUUGCAGGAGAGGUAAGUGGAAUGCGUGGUGUAGCGGUGAAAUGCGUAGAUAUCAGGAGGAACACCAGUGGCGAAGGCAGCUUACUGGACUGUAAAUGACGCUGAGGCUCGAAAGCGUGGGGAGCAAACAGGAUUAGAUACCCUUGUAGUC